rnacentral:rRNA from 1 species
CCUACGGGCGGCAGCAGUGGGGAAUAUUGGACAAUGGGCGAAAGCCUGAUCCAGCCAUGCCGCGUGUGUGAAGAAGGCCUUCGGGUUGUAAAGCACUUUCAGUGGGGAAGAAAGCCUUGGGGCUAAUACCCUCGAGGAAGGACAUCACCCACAGAAGAAGCACCGGCUAACUCCGUGCCAGCAGCCGCGGUAAUACGGAGGGUGCGAGCGUUAAUCGGAAUUGCUGGGCGUAAAGCGCGCGUAGGCGGUCUGAUAAGCCGGUUGUGAAAGCCCCGGGCUCAACCUGGGAACGGCAUCCGGAACUGUCAGGCUAGAGUGCAGGAGAGGAAGGUAGAAUUCCCGGUGUAGCGGUGAAAUGCGUAGAGAUCGGGAGGAAUACCAGUGGCGAAGGCGGCCUUCUGGACUGACACUGACGCUGAGGUGCGAAAGCGUGGGUAGCAAACAGGAUUAGAUACCCCAGUAGUC